ensembl:antisense Gm16214 predicted gene 16214
ACACUCGCGUGCAUGCACACCUCACGAGCGGAGCCUCUUUGUUCCCUCUUUAGAUGGAAACUGAAGGUGAGGCAGGCUUCAAGUGUGUGGAGUUUUCUCCUCAGGUGGUGAGCCAAGAACGGUGCCUCUCAACCCUAUAGUUCAAAACAGGCAACCCAGCAGUGUGUCAACAGAGGUAGAUGCAUUUGCUCCCUAGGGUGAGAACAACUGGAAGGUUAUAUAGAUGGCACACAGCAUCAGUCAGCAGGGAGAGAAGCAAGGGAUGAAGAUGCAAAGCUGAAACAAGGCCACAGGCCGUGAAAAGGAAAGAGAUUCACUCAGAGGAGGAGACCUCAACCUCCAACCUUUUGAAACGUAAGCAGUGGUAGACGCCUACAUCUCUCCAUGAAGGAUGCAAACAAGUCUGUGCAGAUUUGAAGGCACGGAGUUUUUAAGGCCUCUGGCCAACUGCAACAGCCCAACAGGCCUCAGCUCUCCGCCUAGCCACGUGCUUCCCCGUCUCUGGCAGACUGCGCAUGAGGACUCGCCUUAAAGACAGCGAUGGCGUAGGGGUGUGGGAGGCUGUCAAGGAUGACUGAACGCUGCUGGCCACUGAAAGUGAUGCGCUCGAUACAGUCCAGAUGUGAGACAUCUGGAGACCAUAAGAGAGUCGGAUGCUUUCUAAUGAAACACACAGAGUUAUCGGACCACGACAAGCAAGCUAUGGCUUCAAGAGCCUUAGUCAACAGGUUAUCUCCCCCAUGAUCACCAGAAGCAGAAACCUGGCCUCACAUUUUCACUUUCAUGAGCAUCUGUUACAGCAGUGGGCAUGACGCUGACUCCCCGUAAGGAACACUUACCCUUCUUGGGGUACAAGGACUAGAGCCCUGGGUCGAUCAAGCACAGAUGAAUUGACGAUUGUCAGUCGGAAGUCACCAUCUGGAUUAGCUACCUGACAAAACAAAGGGGGUGGGGGAAGGAGAGAGAUCUAAAUUCCUUACAAAGCCCACAAAACCAAAGCCCUCCACGGGCCCUGCCUCUGGCACACUCUCCACACCUGCCCUCUACUCCCGGGUCUCAUUCUAGAACCACUGGGGAGCCCGCCUUGAUUCCCAAUCAGAAGGCACUCAUCAUGUCCCUGGCUGAGAUAAUUCCCACGUGGGCCAAAGGAGCAGCUAGAGCUGUGUGCUCCCUGACGCCAACCCCGGAGCAUGACAACUUGCGCAAAGGUGACUGUUGUGGUCCCUUGGAGUCCAAGAACGCUUCAGUGCUUGCACACAACCCUCACACAGCUUCCUGCCUGUUCUAAGCCACCCCUAGAUCACCUGUAAUUCCCACGACAGUGCUGGUGCUAAGUAGUAGGUGAGUUGUUCGGGAAUGGAACAACAGGAAAAGAUGUCUGCACACUC